rnacentral:rRNA from 1 species
AUUGAACGCUGGCGGCAUGCCUUACACAUGCAAGUCGAACGGUAACGGGCCUUCGGGUGCCGACGAGUGGCGAACGGGUGAGUAAUACAUCGGAACGUGCCCGAGAGUGGGGGAUAACGAGGCGAAAGCUUUGCUAAUACCCGCAUACGAUCUCAGGAUGAAAGCAGGGGACCUUCGGGCCUUGCGCUCACGGAGCGGCCGAUGGCAGAUUAGGUAGUUGGUGGGAUAAGAGCUUACCAAGCCUGCGAUCUGUAGCUGGUCUGAGAGGAUGAUCAGCCACACUGGGACUGAGACACGGCCCAGACUCCUACGGGAGGCAGCAGUGGGGAAUUUUGGACAAUGGGGGCAACCCUGAUCCAGCCAUGCCGCGUGCAGGAUGAAGGCCUUCGGGUUGUAAACUGCUUUUGUACGGAACGAAAAAGCGCCUUCUAAUACAGGGCGUCCAUGACGGUACCGUAAGAAUAAGCACCGGCUAACUACGUGCCAGCAGCCGCGGUAAUACGUAGGGUGCGAGCGUUAAU